AGUGAACGCUGGCGGUAGGCCUAACACAUGCAAGUCGAACGGCAACAGGUCUUCGGAUGCUGACGAGUGGCGAACGGGUGAGUAAUACAUCGGAACGUGCCCGAUCGUGGGGGAUAACGAAGCGAAAGCUUUGCUAAUACCGCAUACGAUCUACGGAUGAAAGCAGGGGACCGCAAGGCCUUGCGCGAACGGAGCGGCCGAUGGCAGAUUAGGUAGUUGGUGGGAUAAAAGCUUACCAAGCCGACGAUCUGUAGCUGGUCUGAGAGGACGACCAGCCACACUGGGACUGAGACACGGCCCAGACUCCUACGGGAGGCAGCAGUGGGGAAUUUUGGACAAUGGGCGAAAGCCUGAUCCAGCCAUGCCGCGUGCAGGAUGAAGGCCUUCGGGUUGUAAACUGCUUUUGUACGGAACGAAAAGACUCUGGUUAAUACCUGGGGUCCAUGACGGUACCGUAAGAAUAAGCACCGGCUAACUACGUGCCAGCCGCCGCCGUAA
rnacentral:rRNA from 1 species